rnacentral:tRNA from 1 species
AGAUUCGUAGCUCAGUUGGCUUGAGCGUUGGGUGAACUAAAGCCUUCCCCUUGACAGCGUGGGUUCAAAUCCCACCGAGGCCG